rnacentral:misc_RNA from 1 species
GAUGAAGAACGUAGCGAAAUGCGAUACGUAAUGUGAAUUGCAAAUUCAGUGAAUCAUCGAGUCUUUGAACGCACAUUGCGCCCCCUGGUAUUCCGGGGGGCAUGCCUGUCCGAGCGUCAUUGCUGCCCUCAAGCACGGCUUGUGUGUUGGGCCCCGUCCUCCGAUCCCGGGGGACGGGCCCGAAAGGCAGCGGCGGCACCGCGUCCGGUCCUCGAGCGUAUGGGGCUUUGUCACCCGCUCUGUAGGCCCGGCCGGCGCUUGCCGAUCAACCCAAAUUUUUAACCAGGUUGACCUCGGAUCAGGUAGGGAUACCCGCUGAACUUAAGCAUAUCAAUAAGCGGAGGA